rnacentral:rRNA from 1 species
CUACGUGCCAGCAGCCGCGGUAAUACGUAGGGUGCAAGCGUUAAUCGGAAUUACUGGGCGUAAAGCGUGCGCAGGCGGUUCGGAAAGAAAGAUGUGAAAUCCCAGAGCUUAACUUUGGAACUGCAUUUUUAACUACCGAGCUAGAGUGUGUCAGAGGGAGGUGGAAUUCCGCGUGUAGCAGUGAAAUGSGUAGAUAUGCGGAGGAACACCGAUGGCGAAGGCAGCCUCCUGGGAUAACACUGACGCUCAUGCACGAAAGCGUGGGGAGCAAACAGGAUUAGAUACCCUGGUAGUCCACGCCCUAAACGAUGUCAACUAGCUGUUGGGGCCUUCGGGCCUUGGUAGCGCAGCUAACGCGUGAAGUUGACCGCCUGGGGAGUACGGUCGCAAGAUUAAAACUCAAAGGAAUUGACGGGGACCCGCACAAGCGGUGGAUGAUGUGGAUUAAUUCGAUGCAACGCGAAAAACCUUACCUACCCUUGACAUGUC